rfam:Pseudomonas sp. HPB0071 genomic scaffold aczIi-supercont1.1, whole genome shotgun sequence.
UCUCUCCGACGUCAACGCCUGCCCCAUGACGGGCCACGGCCCCAACCCGACCGUGACUGGCUCCCCCGACGU